AUUGAACGCUGGCGGCAGGCUUAACACAUGCAAGUCGAGCGGUAACAGAGAGAAGCUUGCUUCUCUGCUGACGAGCGGCGGACGGGUGAGUAAUGCCUAGGAAUCUGCCUAGUAGUGGGGGAUAACUUGCCGAAAGGUAAGCUAAUACCGCAUACGUCCUACGGGAGAAAGGAGGGGACCUUCGGGCCUUUCGCUAUUAGAUGAGCCUAGGUCGGAUUAGUUAGUUGGUGAGGUAAUGGCUCACCAAGACCGCGAUCCGUAACUGGUCUGAGAGGAUGAUCAGUCACACUGGAACUGAGACACGGUCCAGACUCCGACGGGAGGCAGCAGUGGGGAAUAUUGGGCAAUGGGGGGAACCCUGAUCCAGCCAUGCCGCGUGUGUGAAGAGGGUCUUAGGAUUGUAAAGCACUUUAAGUUGGGAGGAAGAGCAGUUAACUAAUAUUUGACUGUUUUGACGUUACCGACAGAAUAAGCACCGGCUAACUUCGUGCCAGCCGCCGCAGUAA
rnacentral:rRNA from 1 species